rnacentral:rRNA from 1 species
AGAGUUUGAUCCUGGCUCAGGAUGAACGCUGGCGGCGUGCCUAACACAUGCAAGUCGAACGGAGCCUAAUCAGCAGAAGCGGACAGCUUGCUGGAAGCGGAAGCAGAAAAGGCUUAGUGGCGGACGGGUGAGUAACGCGUGGGUAACCUGGCCCAUACAGGGGGAUAACACUUAGAAAUAGGUGCUAAUACCGCAUAACAACAGAAAGCGCAUGCUUUGUGUUUGAAAACUGAGGUGGUAUGGGAUGGACCCGCGUCUGAUUAGCUGGUUGGCGGGGUAAUGGCCCACCAAGGCGACGAUCAGUAGCCGGCCUGAGAGGGUGGACGGCCACAUUGGGACUGAGACACGGCCCAAACUCCUACGGGAGGCAGCAGUGGGGAAUAUUGCACAAUGGGGGAAACCCUGAUGCAGCGACGCCGCGUGAGUGAAGAAGUAAUUCGUUAUGUAAAGCUCUAUCAGCAGGGAAGAAAAUGACGGUACCUGAUUAAGAAGCCCCGGCUAACUACGUGCCAGCAGCCGCGGUAAUACGUAGGGGGCAAGCGUUAUCCGGAUUUACUGGGUGUAAAGGGAGCGUAAACGGCAGUGCAAGUCUGGAGUGAA